rnacentral:piRNA from 2 species
UGCACAGCUCCAUGCCUCUGAGAAUGUGA